rnacentral:rRNA from 1 species
CGGUCCAGACUCCUACGGGAGGCAGCAGUAGGGAAUCUUCCGCAAUGGGCGAAAGCCUGACGGAGCAACGCCGCGUGAGUGAUGAAGGUCUUCGGAUCGUAAAACUCUGUUAUUAGGGAAGAACAUAUGUGUAAGUAACUGUGCACAUCUUGACGGUACCUAAUCAGAAAGCCACGGCUAACUACGUGCCAGCAGCCGCGGUAAUACGUAGGUGGCAAGCGUUAUCCGGAAUUAUUGGGCGUAAAGCGCGCGUAGGCGGUUUUUUAAGUCUGAUGUGAAAGCCCACGGCUCAACCGUGGAGGGUCAUUGGAAACUGGAAAACUUGAGUGCAGAAGAGGAAAGUGGAAUUCCAUGUGUAGCGGUGAAAUGCGCA